GUACACAAAAAUGCACAUAUUGUGAGCUCGAUGAGUAGGGCGGGACACGUGGUAUCCUGUCUGAAUAUGGGGGGACCAUCCUCCAAGGCUAAAUACUCCUGACUGACCGAUAGUGAACCAGUACCGUGAGGGAAAGGCGAAAAGAACCCCGGCGAGGGGAGUGAAAAAGAACCUGAAACCGUGUACGUACAAGCAGUGGGAGCCUCUUAAUGGGGUGACUGCGUACCUUUUGUAUAAUGGGUCAGCGACUUAUAUUCUGUAGCAAGGUUAACCGAAUAGGGGAGCCGAAGGGAAACCGAGUCUUAACUGGGCGCUAAGUUGCAGGGUAUAGACCCGAAACCCGGUGAUCUAGCCAUGGGCAGGUUGAAGGUUGGGUAACACUAACUGGAGGACCGAACCGACUAAUGUUGAAAAAUUAGCGGAUGACUUGUGGCUGGGGGUGAAAGGCCAAUCAAACCGGGAGAUAGCUGGUUCUCCCCGAAAGCUAUUUAGGUAGCGCCUCGUGAAUUCAUCUCCGGGGGUAGAGCACUGUUUCGGCAAGGGGGUCAUCCCGACUUACCAACCCGAUGCAAACUGCGAAUACCGGAGAAUGUUAUCACGGGAGACACACGGCGGGUGCUAACGUCCGUCGUGAAGAGGGAAACAACCCAGACCGCCAGCUAAGGUCCCAAAGUCAUGGUUAAGUGGGAAACGAUGUGGGAAGGCCCAGACAGCCAGGAUGUUGGCUUAGAAGCAGCCAUCAUUUAAAGAAAGCGUAAUAGCUCACUGGUCGAGUCGGCCUGCGCGGAAGAUGUAACGGGGCUAAACCAUG
rnacentral:rRNA from 1 species